GGCAAGGGGAUGCAAAACUUCGGAAAUAUUGAAGGCUUUAUUUUGUAUUUUUUUCUCUCCCCCUUUCUGUUCGCCCCCUAAACAGCGAUAACUUCUCUCUGACCCCAAAGUGACACCGUUUCUAUGUUGUUUCUGAUUAAUCUUGCCCAUUGACAGUCUUUGUUAAACAACAAGGCGUGCCCUUCCCCAACGAGGCGACAUUUUCAUAUUUGUUAGACGCAGUGACCUGAAGCUCACCCCGGACUUGGACUUCGGUUUUCCAGGGUCUACUCGACUCUGGGUAGAUUACGGAGCACUUAGCACCAGUCAGCACCUAACAGCGCCCCAAAAAUAUAUUUUUUAAAACCAGUACAAAACCCACGAUAAAGCGUAGGUCCAUCUGAAAAAGCCUUGCGUCGACUGUGCCACUCCUGUAGGUAAUGUUAGCCAACUAAACUGAAGUUUCGGUGUCUCCUGGUCAAUGUUUUCUUUAGAAUAGUAUAAAUAUGUAUAUGUGUUGAAUUUGUUUCACAUUGUUAGGCUUCUGUUAAUGUUUCUCACCUAGGCUCAUGUUUUUCCUGUUCAAACAAGGUCCUCCUCGGAGCUUUGUAUGUGUAAGCCAUCGCUAUGGGAUUUUCAUUUUAGUCAGAUAUAGGCCUAUAUGGCCUUUUAAGCAUCUAAAUAGCCAAAGUUGUUAGGUGUUAUAUUACAAUUGAGUGUAUUUUACACCUGUAACUCAUCGUGAAUGACAAGGGGAAUCUUUUUUGUUGUUGAGGAUCUGGCCUCCAGAACGCAUGUAACCAAGACCACCUGAGGGUCUAUCUAUCAGCAUAAUGUCCACGAUCCCUUGUCUGUUAGGAGGACCAGGCUGCAGAGGACAAUGUUCCCUCAGUAUUCACGAGGCGGUUAAGAAGGAGAGAAAGACUACAUAUUUUAAAGGAGUCCGGGGGCUCCAUUUGGGGGGCUGUGGGCAUAGUCUACCCAUCAUCCUGUGACCGGGCAGCUGGCUGCAGGUGACACUGAACUUGGCCUAAAGCGAGCUCUGCUGGUGGCUGGAGGAUGCAGAUUUAUCUUGCUGCUAUGGCUGACCUCGCGGUGAACCGCGCACGGGGGAUGGUUAAUUUUUUUCUGCCUGGCAUUGUCUGCCUAGGACCCCGAUUUAAGAUGAUUUUAUGUGUAACAACGGUGUAAUUUUCGCCCCAGACUUCACAAUGAUAUUGGCAUAGAAUAACGGUUUCUCUUUCAUGUUCUACACCAUACAACUGUAAUGGAAAUGAAGUCCAAUUUCAUUGCAUUGGCUAUUUGUUUACAAGACGGAAUCUUCUAUGUCGACUGUUAGGGGAAGGGGGAGCGGGGAUCAACCCACCUCAAAUCAUCAGAUGAUUCAGAGUUUCAAUUCCAUCUACGUACUGACAUAUUAUACUUUGAGGGUUUAGUUUCUAUAUAAACACUUUUCAUUGCA
ensembl:lncRNA